GUUGGAAAUGUUAAGACAAUCUAACUGAAUACAACUUCCUUGUUGUUUGGAGAAGGGCUGUAGGUGCCGUGUUUGCCAACUCUUGCAGCUCCACAGGAAAGGCUACAACUGAAGAACAUGGAAUAUUACCUGGUGGAGAUAUAAACAGACAUGUGAAGAUGGAAUGACAUCAGAGUCUGCAUUUUGGGAACCAGGCAUUCUGAACCCAUGUAUGGAAUCGGACAAGGAAGUGAAUUCAUAGCAGAAGCUCAACAGAGG